GACGGAGGAUGCAAGCGUUAUCCGGAAUGAUUGGGCGUAAAGCGUCCGCAGGUGGCAGUUCAAGUCUGCUGUCAAAGACCGGGGCUUAACUUCGGAAAGGCAGUGGAAACUGAACAGCUAGAGUAUGGUAGGGGCAGAGGGAAUUCCUGGUGUAGCGGUGAAAUGCGUAGAUAUCUGGAGGAACACCGGUGGCGAAGGCGGCAUCCUGGACCGGCAUUGACGCUAAAGCGCGAAAGCCAGGGGAGCAAACGGG
rnacentral:rRNA from 1 species